rnacentral:rRNA from 1 species
AGUGAACGCUGGCGGUAGGCCUAACACAUGCAAGUCGAACGGCAGCACAGUAAGAGCUUGCUCUUACGGGUGGCGAGUGGCGGACGGGUGAGGAAUACAUCGGAAUCUACUUUUUCGUGGGGGAUAACGUAGGGAAACUUACGCUAAUACCGCAUACGACCUACGGGUGAAAGCAGGGGAUCUUCGGACCUUGCGCGAUUGAAUGAGCCGAUGUCGGAUUAGCUAGUUGGCGGGGUAAAGGCCCACCAAGGCGACGAUCCGUAGCUGGUCUGAGAGGAUGAUCAGCCACACUGGAACUGAGACACGGUCCAGACUCCUACGGGAGGCAGCAGUGGGGAAUAUUGGACAAUGGGCGCAAGCCUGAUCCAGCCAUACCGCGUGGGUGAAGAAGGCCUUCGCGUUGUAAAGCCCUUUUGUUGGGAAAGAAAAGCAGCAGGUUAAUACCCCGCUGUUCUGACGGUACCCAAAGAAUAAGCACCGGCUAACUUCGUG